rnacentral:rRNA from 1 species
AGAGUUUGAUCAUGGCUCAGGACGAACGCUGGCGGCGUGCUUAACACAUGCAAGUCGAACGAUGAACCACUUCGGUGGGGAUUAGUGGCGAACGGGUGAGUAACACGUGGGCAAUCUGCCCUGCACUCUGGGACAAGCCCUGGAAACGGGGUCUAAUACCGGAUACUGACCCGCUUGGGCAUCCAAGCGGUUCGAAAGCUCCGGCGGUGCAGGAUGAGCCCGCGGCCUAUCAGCUUGUUGGUGAGGUAAUGGCUCACCAAGGCGACGACGGGUAGCCGGCCUGAGAGGGCGACCGGCCACACUGGGACUGAGACACGGCCCAGACACCUACGGGAGGCAGCAGUGGGGAAUAUUGCACAAUGGGCGAAAGCCUGAUGCAGCGACGCCGCGUGAGGGAUGACGGCCUUCGGGUUGUAAACCUCUUUCAGCAGGGAAGAAGCGAAAGUGACGGUACCUGCAGAAGAAGCGCCGGCUAACUACGUGCCAGCAGCCGCGGUAAUACGUAGGGCGCGAGCGUUGUCCGGAAUUAUUGGGCGUAAAGAGCUCGUAGGCGGCUUGUCGCGUCGGUUGUGAAAGCCCGGGGCUUAACCCCGGGUCUGCAGUCGAUACGGGCAGGCUAGAGUUCGGUAGGGGAGAUCGGAAUUCCUGGUGUAGCGGUGAAAUGCGCAGAUAUCAGGAGGAACACCGGUGGCGAAGGCGGAUCUCUGGGCCGAUAUUGACGCUGAGGAGCGAAAGCGUGGGGAGCGAACAGGAUUAGAUACCCUGGUAGUCCACGCCGUAAACGGUGGGCACUAGGUGUGGGCGACAUUCCACGUCGUCCGUGCCGCAGCUAACGCAUUAAGUGCCCCGCCUGGGGAGUACGGCCGCAAGGCUAAAACUCAAAGGAAUUGACGG